UUUAGGUAACAGAGCAUCUGUAACAACACUGAGGUGCACUUGUCAAUUGCAGGAUCAUAUGUAGGAGGUGUUCAGCAAGAACUGGUGCUCCUUCUUGGAUGAUGAUGUACUGAUGACCAGGUGAUAAUGUGAUGACCUCAGAGUCUUUUGAGGAGCCAGAUUAUAUUGUAAUUUAAGUUCUCCAACAAAAAUAUAGCCAUGAAGCAUUGGGGAGGAGAAGGAAGAGAUUAAAUAGCCCUGAAGGGAAUUUGGCAAAUUUCCACAGACUUGGAAGCUUUUAACUUGGAACUUUUAGUACUCCAUCAGUAUUCCAUCAGCAACCUGAAGAUUGAAAAUGGGUAUUGCAGAAAGACUACCAUCCACGUGAAGCCAAAAAGGCAAAAAAAACUAUAUGGCAUGUUUAGGAAACAUCCAAAAAGAAAAAUGAGAUGGAAGGAGAAAUAUUAGCUGGGGAGCAUUGCAAGCUAUGUUAGGGAAGUUGGAAUUAAUCCUAAGAGCAAUGGGAAAACACUAUAUUGUUUUCAGCAGAGGGGCGACACCAUCGGAUUUUCAUUUUUAGAAAAAUUUCUUUCUCAUUCACUUCC
rnacentral:lncRNA from 1 species